AGUGAACGCUGGCGGUAGGCCUAACACAUGCAAGUCGAACGGCAGCACAGUAAGAGCUUGCUCUUACGGGUGGCGAGUGGCGGACGGGUGAGGAAUACAUCGGAAUCUACUUUUUCGUGGGGGAUAACGUAGGGAAACUUACGCUAAUACCGCAUACGACCUACGGGUGAAAGCAGGGGAUCUUCGGACCUUGCGCGAUUGAAUGAGCCGAUGUCGGAUUAGCUAGUUGGCGGGGUAAAGGCCCACCAAGGCGACGAUCCGUAGCUGGUCUGAGAGGAUGAUCAGCCACACUGGACCUGAGACACGGUCCAGACUCCUACGGGAGGCAGCAGUGGGGAAUAUUGGACAAUGGGCGCAAGCCUGAUCCAGCCAUACCGCGUGGGUGAAGGAGGCCUUCGGGUUGUAAAGCCCUUUUGUUGGGAAAGAAAAGCAGCAGGUUAAUACCCCGCUGUUCUGACGGUACCCAAAGAAUAAGCACCGGCUAACUUCGUG
rnacentral:rRNA from 1 species